AUUGAACGCUGGCGGCGUGCCUAACACAUGCAAGUCGAGCGGAAGAGUGGAGCUUGCUCCAUGAUUCAGCGGCGCACGGGUGAGUAACACGUGGAUGAUCUACCCAUCAGUAUGGGAUAACAGUUGGAAACGACUGCUAAUACCGUAUACGAUCUUUUUUCGCGAUUAGGUGAAAGGGGGCCUCUGCAUAUGCUCCCGCUGAUGGAUGAGUCCGCGCCUCAUUAGGUAGUUGGUAGGGUAACGGCCUACCAAGCCGACGAUGAGUAGCCGGCCUGAGAGGGUAAUCGGCCACACUGGGACUGGAACACGGCCCAGACUCCUACGGGAGGCAGCAGUGGGGAAUAUUGCGCAAUGGGCGAAAGCCUGACGCAGCGACGCCGCGUGAGGGAUGAAGGCCUUCGGGUCGUAAACCUCUGUCAGGAGGGAAGAACGGUCAGCGUGCUAAUCAGCGCUGAAUUGACGGUACCUCCAAAGGAAGCACCGGCUAACUCCGUGCCAGCAGCCGCAGUAAAAC
rnacentral:rRNA from 1 species